AGCGAACGCUGGCGGCAGGCUUAACACAUGCAAGUCGAGCGGGCACUUCGGUGUCAGCGGCAGACGGGUGAGUAACACGUGGGAACGUACCCUUCGGUUCGGAAUAACGCCGGGAAACUAGCGCUAAUACCGGAUACGCCCUUUUGGGGAAAGGUUUACUGCCGCAGGAUCGGCCCGCGUCUGAUUAGCUAGUUGGUGGGGUAAUGGCCUACCAAGGCGACGAUCAGUAGCUGGUCUGAGAGGAUGAUCAGCCACACUGGGACUGAGACACGGCCCAGACUCCUACGGGAGGCAGCAGUGGGGAAUAUUGGACAAUGGGCGCAAGCCUGAUCCAGCCAUGCCGCGUGAGUGAUGAAGGCCUUAGGGUUGUAAAGCUCUUUUGUCCGGGACGAUAAUGACGGUACCGGAAGAAUAAGCCCCGGCUAACUUCGUG
rnacentral:rRNA from 1 species